UACGGAGGGGGCUAGCGUUGUUCGGAAUUACUGGGCGUAAAGCGCACGUAGGCGGCUUUGUAAGUUAGAGGUGAAAGCCCGGGGCUCAACUCCGGAAUUGCCUUUAAGACUGCAUCGCUAGAAUUGUGGCGAGGUAAGUGGAAUUCCGAGUGUAGAGGUGAAAUUCGUAGAUAUUCGGAAGAACACCAGUGGCGAAGGCGACUUACUGGACACAUAUUGACGCUGAGGUGCGAAAGCGUGGGGAGCAAACAGG
rnacentral:rRNA from 1 species